CCGCGGGAUUAGAGUUUGAUCCUGGCUCAGGAUAAACGCUGGCGGCGUGCCUAACACAUGCAAGUCGAACGCGCUUGCUAUCCGCGAGGACGGUGAGCGAGUGGCGGACGGGUGAGGAACACGUGGGUGACCUACCUUUCAGUGAGGGAUACCGGCGAGAAAUUGCCGACAAGACCGCAUACGCUUCUCUUUUCAAGGGGAGAAGGAAAGCUUUUCGCAAGAGAGGCGCUGGGAGAUGGGCCUGCGGCCGAUUAGCUAGCUGGUGGGGUAAUGGCCUACCAGGGCGACGAUCGGUAGCUGGUCUGAGAGGACGAUCAGCCACACUGGGAUUGAGAACGGCCCAGACUCCUACGGGGGGCAGCAGUGAGGAAUUUUCGGCAAUGGGGGCAACCCUGACCGAGCAACGCCGCGUGCAGGACGACGGCCUUCGGGUUGUAAACUGCUUUUCUCUGGGACGAGCAAGGACGGUACCAGAGGAAGAAGCCCCGGCUAACUACGUGCCAGCAGCCGCGGUAAUACGUAGGGGGCGAGCGUUGUCCGGAGUUACUGGGCGUAAAGCGCACGCAGGCGGUCGCGUAAGUUUGGGGUGACAGUUGCCGGCUUAACCGGCAGAGUGCCUUGAAGACUGUGCGACUUGAGGGCCGAAGAGGGACAUGGAACUCCAGGUGUAGUGGUGAAAUGCGUAGAUAUCUGGAAGAACACCAAAGGCGAAGGCAGUGUCCUGGUCGGUACCUGACGCUCAGGUGCGAAAGCUAGGGGAGCGAACGGGAUUAGAUACCCCGGUAGUCCUAGCCGUAAACGAUGACCACUAGAUGUGC
rnacentral:rRNA from 1 species